ensembl:snRNA
GUGUUAUAUGAGAGGGAAGAAAGUUAGCAUUCCCUUUGAGAAGGACAGAAGAGACUUUUGAUCCUGAUAACAUACAUAUGGGUAAGGCAUUGCCAUCUACUUUGUGGCAUCUAAUCAUCAUUCAAU